rnacentral:rRNA from 1 species
UGCCAGCAGCCGCGGUAAUACGUAGGGUGCAAGCGUUAAUCGGAAUUAUUGGGCGUAAAGCGUCCGCAGGCGGAAACAUAAGUCAGUUAUUAAAUACCGGUGCUCAACAUCGGUGCUGUAACCGAAACUGUGUUUCUAGAGGAUGGGAGAGGUAUAUGGAAUUGUGCAAGUAGGGGUAAAAUCCGUAGAUAUGCACAGGAACACCAAAAGCGAAGGCAGUAUACUGGACCAUUCCUGACGCUCAGGGACGAAAGCGUGGGUAGCAAAAGGGAUUAGAUA